rnacentral:rRNA from 1 species
UGGUUGAUCCUGCCGGACCUGACUGCUAUCGGAUUGAUACUAAGCCAUGCGAGUCAUUGUAGCAAUACAAGGCAGACGGCUCAGUAACGCGUAGUCAACCUAACCUAUGGACGGGAAUAACCUCGGGAAACUGAGAAUAAUGCCCGAUAGAACACUAUACCUGGAAUGGUUUGUGUUCCAAAUGAUUUAUCGCCGUAGGAUGGGACUGCGGCCUAUCAGUUUGUUGGUGAGGUAAUGGCCCACCAAGACUAUUACAGGUACGGGCUCUGAGAGGAGUAGCCCGGAGAUGGGUACUGAGACACGGACCCAGGCCCUAUGGGGCGCAGCAGGCGAGAAAACUUUGCAAUGUGCGAAAGCACGACAAGGUUAAUCCGAGUGAUUUGUGCUAAACGAAUCUUUUGUUAGUCCUAGAACCACUAACGAAUAAGGGGUGGGCAAGUUCUGGUGUCAGCCGCCGCGGUAAAACCAGCACCUCAAGUGGUCAGGAUGAUUAUUGGGCCUAAAGCAUCCGUAGCCGGCUCUGUAAGUUUUCGGUUAAAUCUGUACGCUUAACGUACAGGCUGCCGGGAAUACUGCAGACCUAGGGAGUGGGAGAGGUAGACGGUACUCGGUAGGAAGGGGUAAAAUCCUUUGAUCUAUUGAUGACCCCCUGUGGCGAAGGCGGUCUACCAGAACACGUCCGACG